CUAUAAAAGAUCCAAUCAUAUUUUAUAUUUCACAUAAAACGACGAAAAACUAUGACUGAAACUCUGAAGUUCGUUGUAACCAAAAAGAAAACUCUGAAGUUUGUUUACGCUAUGAUUCUUUUUCUUUCCUUCUUUCUUAUCGCAUCAGAAGUUGGUGGUUCGCAUUUUGGAUGUGAAACGGAUGCGGAUUGUCCACGGUCUACAGACAAGAAUUUUUUUUUGAGAUGCAUUAAUAAAAAAUGUGAAUGGGCUGCAAAGCGUCACUGAUUCUCAGAAUACCAAAUAAAGGAGAAUGCAAAAACUCCCUAUAGAGGAGAAUGAGUUAUUAUGUUAUCGAAAAAAUGUGCAUUAUAUGUUAUGUUCGAAUAUUACAAGAGGUGUCAUUUUUUCUAUUUUACUAGAACAAUGAUUUUAUUUUUAUUUUUCUAAACUCAUGAACCUUGCAUUUAUGGUUUUGUACUCUAAUAUUAUCGUAAGAAAACAAAGAGUUUUAAUUAUAUUA